GAAAUGCGAUAAGUAAUGAAUUGCAGAAUUCAGUGAAUCAUCGAAUCUUUGAACACACAUUGCGCCCGCCAGCACUCUGGCGGGCAUGCCUGUUCGAGCGUCAUUUCAACCCUCAGAACCCCUUGCGGGAUCUGGCGUUGGGGAUUGGCAUCCAGCCAGCCCCGAAAUCUAGUGGUGGUCCCUCCGCGACCUCCCCUGUGCAGUAGCGAUACCUCGCAGCGGGACAGCGGUCUGACCACGCCGUAAAACCCCCAACUUCUCAAGGUUGACCUCGAAUCAGGUAGGAAUACCCGCUGAACUUAAGC
rnacentral:misc_RNA from 1 species